rnacentral:lncRNA from 1 species
GAAAACGUGUAUUCAUUGUGCUUUAACUUACCUAAUUUCGUCGUAAAGUCGUUGUAAAUAUUAUGUUAAAACCAUGUAAAAUCCAUGUAAAACAUUCCUUGUAAAAUCGUUGUUAUAUUUCAACUACCUAACUCGAAAAUUUCUCUAUAUAUAUGUCAUUUCCCACAACUCUCUUCCUCACAACACACAAACGGAAAAAAAAUCCAAAAAAAUCAGAAAAAAAGAUUUCAAAAAAAAAUCUAAGAAAAAUGGCCG